CAGUUCGGAUUGUAGUCUGCAACUCGCUACAUAAAGCUGGAAUCGCUAGUAAUCGUGAAUCAGCAAUGUCACGGUGAAUACGUUCCCGGGUCUUGUACUCACCGCCCGUCACACCAUGGGAGUUGUAUUCGCCUUAAGUCGGGAUACUAAAUUGGUUACCGCCCACGGCGGAUGCGGCGACUGGGGUGAAGUCGUAACAAGGUAUC
rnacentral:rRNA from 1 species